UGGCGAUGAUGAAAAAAAGGCCGGACUUACGGCUGCUACGAAGCACCAGCACCAGAAAAAGUGUGGUGUGGGUAGUAGAAUGAUGUUAAAGUUCCCAAAGGUUACAGCUGAGCCAG
rfam:Capsella rubella cultivar Monte Gargano unplaced genomic scaffold scaffold_1, whole genome shotgun sequence.